GAGAAAUGAUGAGGAUUUAUGUGAACUACUGAUGUCUGUGAAGACUAAUAAUCCAACUCUGAUCUCAUACAUAGC
ensembl:snoRNA